UGCGGAAUUUUGGACAAUGGGCGCAAGCCUGAUCCAGCCAUGCCGCGUGAGUGAAGAAGGCCUUCGGGUUGUAAAGCUCUUUCAGUUGGGAAGAAACGAUUGCAACUAAUAAUUGUAAUUAAUGACGGUACCGACAGAAGAAGCACCGGCUAACUACGUGCCAGCAGCCGCGGUAAUACGUAGGGUGCGAGCGUUAAUCGGAAUUACUGGGCGUAAAGGCUGCGCAGGCGGUUUUGUAAGUCAGAUGUGAAAUGCCCGGGCUUAACCUGGGAAUGGCGUUUGAAACUGCAAGGCUAGAGUGUAGCAGAGGCGGGUGGAAUUCCACGUGUAGCAGUGAAAUGCGUAGAGAUGUGGAGGAACACCGAUGGCGAAGGCAGCCCCCUGGGUUAACACUGACGCUCAGGCACGAAAGCGUGGGGAGCAAACAGGAUUAGAUACCCUGGUAGUCCACGCCCUAAACGAUGUCAACUAGUUGUCGGGUCUUAACGGGCUUGGUAACGCAGCUAACGCGUGAAGUUGACCGCCUGGGGAGUACGGUCGCAAGAUUA
rnacentral:rRNA from 1 species